AUUGAACGCUGGCGGCAGGCCUAACACAUGCAAGUCGAACGGUAGCACAGAGAGCUUGCUCUCGGGUGACGAGUGGCGGACGGGUGAGUAAUGUCUGGGAAACUGCCCGAUGGAGGGGGAUAACUACUGGAAACGGUAGCUAAUACCGCAUAACGUCGCAAGACCAAAGUGGGGGACCUUCGGGCCUCACACCGUCGGAUGUGCCCAGAUGGGAUUAGCUAGUAGGUGGGGUAAUGGCUCACCUAGGCGACGAUCCCUAGCUGGUCUGAGAGGAUGACCAGCCACACUGGAACUGAGACACGGUCCAGACUCCUACGGGAGGCAGCAGUGGGGAAUAUUGCACAAUGGGCGCAAGCCUGAUGCAGCCAUGCCGCGUGUAUGAAGAAGGCCUUCGGGUUGUAAAGUACUUUCAGCGGGGAGGAAGGCGGUGAAGUUAAUAGCUUCACCGAUUGACGUUACCCGCAGAAGAAGCACCGGCUAACUCCGUGCCAGCAGCCGCAGUAA
rnacentral:rRNA from 1 species